GUGCCAGCAGCCGCGGUAAUACGAGGGGUGCAAGCGUUAUUCGGAUUUAUUGGGCGUAAAGGGUGCGUAGAUGGUUUGUUAAGUCUGUCGUUAAAUUCUCCGACUUAAUCGGAGGUCAGCGAUGGAAACUGGCGAUCUAGAGUGUGGAAGAGAGGAGUGGAAUUCCCGGAGUAGCGGUAAAAUGCACAGAUCUCGGGAGGAACACCAAUGGCGAAGGCAGCUCCUUGGUCCACAACUGACAUUGAGGCACGAAAGCGUGGGGAGCAAACAGGAUUAGAUACCCUGGUAGUCC
rnacentral:rRNA from 1 species